rnacentral:rRNA from 1 species
UACGUAGGGUGCAAGCGUUAAUCGGAAUUAUUGGGCGUAAAGGGUGCGCAGGCGGUUAUAUAAGUCAGAUGUGAAAUCCCUGGGCUUAACCUAGGAAUUGCGUUUGAAACUAUAUAACUAGAGUGUGACAGAGGGGAGUGGAAUUCCAUGUGUAGCAGUGAAAUGCGUAGAGAUGUGGAAGAACACCGAUGGCGAAGGCAGCUCCCUGGGUUAACACUGACGCUCAUGCACGAAAGCGUGGGGAGCAAACAGG